GACGAACGCUGGCGGCGUGCUUAACACAUGCAAGUCGAACGGAAAGGCCCUGCUUUUGUGGGGUGCUCGAGUGGCGAACGGGUGAGUAACACGUGAGUAACCUGCCCUUGACUUUGGGAUAACUUCAGGAAACUGGGCUAAUACCGGAGAGGAGCUCCUGCUGCCUGGUGGGGGUUGGAAAGUUUCGGCGGUUGGGGAUGGACUCGAGGCUUAUCAGCUUGUUGGUGGGGUAGUGGCUUACCAAGGCUUUGACGGGUAGCCGGCCUGAGAGGGUGACCGGCCACAUUGGGACUGAGAUACGGCCCAGAAGCCUACGGGAGGCAGCAGUGGGGAAUAUUGCACAAUGGGCGGGAGCCUGAUGCAGCAACGCCGCGUGCGGGAUGAUGGCCUUCUGGUUGUAAACCGCUUUCGCCUGUGACGAAGCGUGAGUGACGGUAAUGGGUAAAGAAGCAACGGCUAACUACGUG
rnacentral:rRNA from 1 species